AAUGGGCGAAAGCCUGACGCAGCGAUCCCCGCGUGGAGGAUGACACCUUACGGGGCGUAAACUCCUUUUUUGGUGGAAGACGAAAGACGGUACACCCAAGAAUAAAGGACGGCUAACUACGUGCCAGCAGCCGCGGUAAUACGUAGGUCCUAAGCGUUAUCCGGAUUUACUGGGCGUAAAGCGUCUGUAGCUGGAAAAAUAAGUCUGUUUUCAAAUACUGUGGCUCAACCAUAGAAAGGGAAUGGAUACUGUCUUUCUAGAGGUUAUUAGAGGUUAGUGGAAUUUCCGGUGGAGCGGUGAAAUGUGUUGAUAUCGGAAGGAACGUCAAAAGCGAAAGCAGCUAACCUAUAAUAAACCUGACGGUCAGAGACGACAGCUUGGGUAGCAAACGGGAUUAGAUACCCCGGUAGUCCAAGCUGUAAAUUAUGCUUGCUAGAUGUUUUCUCCAUUUUGGAGGGAGUGUCGUAAUCUAACGAGUUAAGCAAGCCGCCUGGGUAGUAUAUACGCAAGUAUGAAACUCAAAGGGAUAGGCGGGGGAACACACAAGCAGUGGAUUGUCUAGAUUAAUUGGAUAAUAAGCCAAAAAUCUCACCUAAACUUGACAUGUACUGUGUCCUAUGUGAAAGCAUAGUAGUCCGAGCAAUCGGACACGGUAUACAGGUGGUGCAUGGUCGUCGUCAGCUCGUGCCGCAAGGUGUCUAGUUAAGUCUAGGAACGAGCGCAACCCUCAUCUCUAGUUAGAAUGUCUAGAGAGACUGCUCGGGCAACCGAGAGGAAGGAGAGGAUGACGUCAGAUCCUCAUGCCCCUUACGUUUAGGGCUUCAUAGGCAAUACAAUGGGUGAUACAACGAGAAGCAAUACCGCGAGGUGGAGCAAAUCUUUAAAAUUAUCCUUAGUUCGGAUUGUAGUCUGGAACUCGACUGCAUGAAGUUGGAAUUGCUAGUAAUGGCGGGUCAGCUAUACCGCCGUGAAUAUGUCCCUGUUCCUUGCACUCACCGCCCGUCAAACCAUGGGAGUUGAGGCUCUUUGAAG
rnacentral:rRNA from 1 species